rnacentral:lncRNA from 1 species
AAACCUAUUUGAAGAUCUCCUUGAAUAAUGAUAUCUAGUUGAAAAAUUGAGAUGAAAAGGAGUAAUAAAUAGGAGGGCAUUCACAUUGCUUAGCUUGAGGUGUAAGUGACAGUGCUACUCGUGGAAGCGUUGGUAGUUGAUACAGGACUGGAACUCUGAACAGAUGAUUGGGUGCCUGAUUGAGAAAUUGGUCCACCAGUUGACAAGGUCAAACCAACUGAUCCAGUUGAUGUGCUCAUUGAUGAAGACAUUCUGUAUGAACCAGGCUCCUUGCUGGAUCCUGAGGCAAGAUCAGGCCGCAACUCUGAUGAUGAAGAUGACGAGGCAAGAGUGCCACGUGAGGAACCCACGGGAUAGGGUGCAACUGGCAUGUCGGACAGGGAAGAAGCAGAAGGACUAUAACUCAACGAUCCCAUAGGAUGAUCAAAUUUGCAAGCAGGACCAAACUUACAAACACCACGUUGGGUAUAAUGAGUGCAAACUGAUGCCCCCUGUUUAUCAAACACAGACAUUGGAUGCAUGAAGUUAAGGAUUUAAGAAAGCAAUCAAACAAAUAUUUUUCCAAAAAACAUAAAAUACAGUUUAACUGAACACAAGCUCGUUGUUGCAGAGACUGUUUUGAACCCAUGACCUCCAAGUCAAAAGACAACAACCUUAUUAUUGAACAAAUGCUCGCCCUCGUCAUGCAUACAAAACCUAAUCUUUAUAUAAGAUGAACAUCCAAUAUAGAUAUAAAAGAGAAGUUAUUACAACUAAAUCAAAAAAGGAAAACAAUGAUGCCAUGAAAGAUGCAUUAAGGUACUAUAGAUGAAAUUAAUAACAUGGAUGAAAAAGGACAUGCAUUAAGGCGUACAAAUACAAUAAUAACCAUUGGAAAAUGAAUAUGAACACAUGAUGAAAGUUUGAAACUAGGUAAAUGAUUGUUAAAAAUAUUGACAAAAGGACGUCCCAAGGCUUUCUAUUAACUACAGAUUUGAGGACAAAUUUACAAAUUUAAUUAACAGAUGCAAAAAGUUUCAAUCGUUCAAGUAUUCACAGUACACAAUAUUCCCUGCCUUGACAAAGAACAUAUCCAUCACAAAAGAUUUGAAAGAGGAGCUUACUUACAGAACUGGCAAUUACAAACUCCUAACUAUUUUUAUCCAAAAGACCAGUCAAUCAGGUGUUAAUGAUUCUACAUGCAUGGUAUAACCCAGCAUGAAUGAAUGAUACAUGAAAAUAGAAAGAUAGAGCUUCCCAUCCAAUAAGAGUUAGCUUAAAUAAGAACCGAAGAACAAGAACAAAGAAAAUUGCUCCUGCACUGAUUCGUUUUCAAUAAUAAAUUGAAAAGUAAAUUUAAGUUCAGUAAAGCAGGUUUCAAAUCCUACAUAAAAAAUGCAAGCAAACAAAGAUAAUAAGUCAUUUUUUUUGUCAAAAAAAUAUACACCAAUUGUGUUAUACCUCACAGUUAGCCAUUUUAAUCACCAGUUGCUAUAAGAGUUUGAAUAGAAAAUAGAAGUAUUAUGGAUAUGUAAUUCAUAAACCAACAUGAGGCAUCACAAUACAAAGGAGUUGAAAGGUAACCAUUACCGGGCGCAAAGGAAGACCCACAGGACUAAGGAUGACAUUCGCUUUUGGUGAAAAUUCGAAAAAGGGAUGUGGUGAAGAGACAUAAACACAUGGUCAAUGGAACUCGACGGAAUUUCCUCAUAUAAAAGAGAUUGAAGCAUAAAUAAGCACAACUCUGAAAAUUGGAGAUGUGGAUGGAUAUGUGCAUAAGCAACUUGUAGAUUCUUUUGAAUUUAUUCAAAAGCAAGACGGAACUAUGGGUUGCUAGAAUUCUCAGGAUUGCCCAUGGUUUAUUCGAAGACCAAAGGGAUGGCCACAAAAAGAUUGUAUAAACACAAAGAUAAAUGGUGCAACCUGUGCUAGAACUGAAAUGAGGAACUGGGGUGGCUGAAAAAUGAAACCUAUUUGAAGAUCUCCUUGAAUAAUGAUAUCUAGUUGAAAAAUUGAGAUGAAAAGGAGUAAUAAAUAGGAGGGCAUUCACAUUGCUUAGCUUGAGGUGUAAGUGACAGUGCUACUCGUGGAAGCGUUGGUAGUUGAUACAGGACUGGAACUCUGAACAGAUGAUUGGGUGCCUGAUUGAGAAAUUGGUCCACCAGUUGACAAGGUCAAACCAACUGAUCCAGUUGAUGUGCUCAUUGAUGA